rnacentral:rRNA from 1 species
AUGUUCAGCCUUCGAAUCCAGUCCGUCGAGUCGCUCGACGCCCUCGCCGCCCUCACCAUCGCCGCCGCCGACGAUGUCGGCACCAGCAGCUCCGCCGCCGGUGGCACAGCCGCAUCCAAUCCCAUCUCCCCGCGCUCCAGCAACCCUCUCCCCUCCACCACAUCCGCCACAACUCUUCUCGAGCUGCCCGGCGUGACCUCCGCCGCGUCCGCACGGAACCCUAGGACCCACCACACCCGCGGCAUCCUCCACCUCUACCGCUCCUCUUCCUCCUACGCCUCCGCCGUCGCCGCCACCCCCUCUUCCUCCUCCUCCGGCCCCGCCGCCCCGCCGCUCCCCUGCGACUCUCUGCUCCCGUCAUGGCGCGGCACGCGGCUCCUGGUGCUCGCCGUCCCAGCCCGCCUCACGCCAGACGACUUCGUCCGCUUCUGCGGCCCCUACGUCGAGCACGCCUCUGAGAUCCGUGUCAUUAGCGAUGAUGGGGUAGAGGACCGGUACAGCGUGCUUGUGGAGUUUGAGGAUCAGAAGAGUGCCGAUGGAUUUUACCUGGACCUCAAUGGCUGGAGGUUCUCGUCCUCAGAGGUAGAGGUGUGCCAUGUUCUGUUUAUAGUUGCUGUGCAAUACACAUCAUCCACUGAGUUGGCCGUCAUCCCACCGGUUGGAUCUACCGAGCUUCCGACUUGUCCUGUUUGCAUAGAAAGGUUGGAUCAAGACAUCAGCGGAAUUGGGGCUACUAAUUGUGACCAUUCUUUCCAGUGUUCAUGCGUUUCAAUGUGGGUCAGUUCAUCUUGUCCGGUUUGUCAGUUCUGUCAGAAGCUGUCUGAAGCUCCUACAAAUCCUACAUGUUCUGUUUGCCAGACCUCUGAAAACCUCUGGAUCUGUGUGAUAUGUGGUUUUGUUGGAUGCGGAAGGUAUAAAGAAGGGCAUUCAAUCAGGCACUGGAAAGGCACUCAGCACUGCUAUUCUCUCGAUUUGGAAACUCAGCGUGUUUGGGAUUAUGUUGGUGACAGUUAUGUCCAUCGGCUCAAUCACUCAAAAAGCGAUGUAAAGCAUGCUAAGUUCAGUUCAAAGUGUGAAUAUCCCGGGGACAACUGUGUAAACUGCAUGCACGAUGACUCAGAUAUGGGUGGAGUUAUGUUUAGCAGUAAAGCGGACACAAUUGUGGAUGAAUACAAUCGUCUUUUAGCAAGCCAACUUGAAACUCAGCGAGAGUAUUACGAAGCUCUUUUGUCAGACGCUAAGAAAGAAAGGGAACACCACAUUUCUAUUGCCGUGGAUAAAACUAUAAAUGAUAAGCUUCAAGAGCUGCAACUUAAGCUUGAAAAUACAAUGUUGGAGAAAAAGAAAGUAGCUGAAAUGAAUGAAAAACUCACGAAGAGCCAGGAUAUAUGGCGCCAGACAGUAAAAGGAAUAGAGGAAAGGGAGAGAGCACAGUUGAAGCUGAAGGAUGAUAUGAUUCUUGACCUGGAAGAGCAGAUAAAAGACUUCAAAUAUUCCAUUAAGCUACAAAAGUCUAUUGCGAAGAGUUCACAUGCUGAUGAUCUCAAAGGAGGCAUGCUGGUGCCACUGGCCAUGGAAUCAGAUUCUGGAAAGGGUAAAAGGUCGUCAAGAACAAGCAAGAGAAGGAAUUAA